AUUGAACGCUAGCGGGAUGCUUUACACAUGCAAGUCGAACGGAGUGGCGGAAGGGUGAGUAAUAUCUAGGAACGUGCCCAGUAGCGGGGGAUAACUAAUCGAAAGAGUGGCUAAUACCGCAUACAAUUGGAGGGGCCGCUAUGGGAUUAGCAAUGUGGUGGGGUAAAGGCUCACCAAGGCAACGAUCCGUAGCUGGUGUGAGAGGACGACCAGCCACACUGGGAGUGAGACACGGCCCAGACUCCGACGGGAGGCAGCAGUGGGGAAUUUUGGACAAUGGGGGAAACCCUGAUCCAGCCAGCCCGCGUGUAUGAAGAAGGCCGUCGGGUUGUAAAGUACUUUUGGCAGAGAAGCGGUAUCUGCAGAAUAAGCACCGGCUAACUCCGUGCCAGCAGCCGCGGUAAUAC
rnacentral:rRNA from 1 species